rnacentral:lncRNA from 1 species
GGAGCUUCAAUAUCAUCGUAUAUCAAAAUAGUCAAAAUAACAAAAAUGAUAAAUGAGUUACAGACCUACAAAAAUACAAGUAAGGCCUUAGGAAUAUAAUGCCCACUAAUAGAUAAGGUACUGUACUCUGAACACGUGAUGCUAGAAGUCCCUUAUCGAUGAUGUUCCUCAGACACGAACAAAAGUCUACAAAUCUGAACAUGAAGACAAUUCGAAGGCUAAGCUUUACAGGCUCUGUAAUGGGCCAAUUUAGCCCGGGCCCGUAUAAACACAAAACCAAAAAAUAAAAAAACAAUAAAUAAUAUAAAAAAAUCCAGAUAUCAAUAGUCCAUUAUCUGUCCAAUUACAUAACCUAGACCUAAAAUUAAAACCAAGUCACAAGCCCAAUAACUUAGCCCAAUACCCUAAACGGCCCAGAAAUUGAGCCCAAUGUCAGCAAACCCUAGCAGCCUUGGCUUGCGCCGAAGCAGCCCCAGCAGCCUCCAGGCGCCGUACACCCCUCCUAUGCCAGCACACGCCCUCGUACACACGCCAUACCUCCGUACCUGCAAACAAACGAGGCAGAACAGCAGCGAAUGCAAACAAAAGAGAAAUAUUGUAUUUUUUAUUUUGAUUUUCUUUUUUUCUUCGGCUAUAAAGCUGAAAUUUUAAUCCUUGUAAUCGGUUACAUAAAAAAACAGACAUUUACGCAAUCCGCAAUAGAGAGAAAUCAGAAUAGAACUAGAAGGUGAUUUUUUUUUGAACGCCUUGUGUUUCUUUUUUUUUUUUCGCAUCUGUUUCAUCUUCCUUUCGUGUUUCAUAUGUUUUAUGCAUAAUAUAAUAAAAAAGGAAGCAUACCUUCAAACGAGCCAUCGAGGACCAUCUCUUCUUCGUCGAAAUUGAAGCUUGAGAUGGGUUUUCGGGCUAAAAAUCUUACCUUUCGAGGUGAAGCUUAGAAUAGGAGAAUGAAACAACUCCAUGGGGAGCCACCGUCCAUCAAUUUCAAUGGUGGAAUGGGGCAGUCGAAUGGUCAAAUAGGGGGAUGGGAAAACCCCAAAAUUUGCUGUGUUGAAACCCUAAGAAUUGGGUCUGCUGCUUAUGGCGAAAAAAAGGGGAAUAGUAAGCUGCCAUUCAAUGGCUUUUAGUUUCAAAUAUUAAGCAAAACGGUACCGUGUAAGAAGAGUGGGGGGAGCCUUUUGCGCCUAAAAUGGUCUAUUUGUG